UACGGGGGGAGCAAGCGUUGUUCGGAUUUACUGGGCGUAAAGGGCGCGUAGGCGGCAGCACAAGUCAGUUGUGAAAUCUCCGGGCUUAACUCGGAAACUGCCAUUGAUACUAUCUUUCUUGAAUACCGUGGAGGUCAGCGGAAUAUGUCAUGUAGCGGUGAAAUGCUUAGAUAUGACAUAGAACACCAAUUGCGAAGGCAGCUGGCUACACGAAUAUUGACACUGAUGCACGAAAGCGUGGGGAUCAAACAGG
rnacentral:rRNA from 1 species